rnacentral:rRNA from 1 species
UACGAAGGGUGCAACCGUUGCUCGGAAUCAUUGGGCGUAAAGCGCACGUAGGCGGCUUUGCAAGUCGGAUGUGAAAUCCCGUGGCUCAACCAUGGACGUGCAUUCGAAACUGCGAAGCUUGAGUAUGGAAGAGGGUCGCGGAAUUCCCGGUGUAGAGGUGAAAUUCGUAGAUAUCGGGAGGAACACCAGUGGCGAAGGCGGCGACCUGGGCCAAUACUGACGCUGAGGUGCGAAAGCGUGGGGAGCAAACAGG